rnacentral:rRNA from 1 species
UUCAUGGAGAGUUUGAUCCUGGCUCAGGACGAACGCUGGCGGCGUGCCUAAUACAUGCAAGUCGAGCGGACAGAUGGGAGCUUGCUCCCUGAUGUUAGCGGCGGACGGGUGAGUAACACGUGGGUAACCUGCCUGUAAGACUGGGAUAACUCCGGGAAACCGGGGCUAAUACCGGAUGCUUAAUUGAACCGCAUGGUUCAAUUAUAAAAGGUGGCUUUUAGCUACCACUUACAGAUGGACCCGCGGCGCAUUAGCUAGUUGGUGAGGUAACGGCUCACCAAGGCGACGAUGCGUAGCCGACC